AUGAUAACAUUUCUCUAUCUUCAGGAUUCAGUCAAAAAGUUGGAACAAACUGGUGAAAAAGAGAUUGUAAAUGAGUUUGGAGCGUUUCUAGACCUGCCUAUACUGCCCACAUUGGAGGAAGUUGGAGUUGAAGUUACAGCCAUCGCCGGUCUGACAGAUUUCUUUGUACAGAUUAAAAGAACAACAGAACAAUCAUUGAUGGAUAUUCAAAAUGAAUACGAGGCAAUGUUUGAAGAAAUCCAAAAGGAAGCACCCUCUGGUCGUCCUCUUCUAGAGCCCUUAAGAAUCGGUCAAGAAUGUUGUGCCUUAUAUGAAGAUGACAACUGGUAUCGAGCAGUGAUCGUGGCUAAAUUUCCUGAAAACGAAGAAUUGGUCAUGGUUCGAUUUAUUGAUUUUGGAAACAAGCAACCAACUCCCACCAAAAAUUUGAGGCCUGUGAAAAGAAAAUGGAUGGACAUUCCCAGACAGUGUAUCAGUGUAAGAUUAGCAGACAUGAAAAAAAACAGACGGUGUGACAGGGGAGGCGCUUAA
rnacentral:lncRNA from 1 species